CCAAGCCUUUCUUGAAGCUAGCUAUGAACACAUGACUAGACACUGGUUAAUAAGAUUGAGGUGAGGUAUAAGUUUCAGGUUAUUCCCUUGAAAGUAUAAUCUUCCCUUUCUCCCCUCGUUUCAUACACUAAGUAUUUUGAACUCACUGAGGAGCCCAAUGUAGCAUGCUGGCUCCAUAAUGACACUUGAGCCUAAUGCUGUUAAGCAAAACCUAGUCCUGUGAUUGAGUCAGCCAAUCACCAGAUCCCAGGACUGUCCACGAGUGUGCUUUACCCCUUCACUCACUCCACCUUUCUCGCACCAUGUCCUAAAGUCAAAUACCUGAAGACCUGGUGUAUUUGGGGACAUAGAAUUAGAUAUAACCAUGCAGAAUAGAGAGGUAAUCCUAGAAUAGAAAAAGCAAAAGCUUCAAAUUGACAAGUAGAAGAUAACUGGAGAGUGUCGAUCAAACAACUGUGUCUCAGGUUCUGCUUACAGGGAAAUGAUCAAAAGCUCUUGCACCAGUGGUUUACCUGGGAACACGAUCAUAGGGAAGUCUAAGGAUAGAGACAGAGGCCGGUAGAAGGCUACAUUAAGUUAGCCACCAGUACCAGCAGAAUUGCUGGUCACUCCUUCAGCAGAACUACCCAAAAGAAGCCUUAAAAAGUCUCUCAGGUCUUAGGGGAAGACAAAGAGGUGCACCUAUCCAUUGGCUCCCAGCUCCCAUCUGUCACGAUUUGCCUCCAUCUGCUAACUACCCCACACUACUAGGUUACUAGGCAGGAAUGCCCAGUGGAUUCCCAAGAUUAUCCCAUACCUCCAAGAUAGAAAAAAUCCUGGGGCAAAAAUUGGGAGGUAGCUGGUAUGAGACUGAGUUGAGGCAGAGGGCAUUUGAAAUGGCACACGAAAGGAGUCAAUACAAGUACUAAUCAAGCAGUGAAAAAAAACCUGAGUAAAGCAAGAUAAGACCAAAAGCAUUAAGCUGUGACCAGGAUGAUACCUGAUUUUUAAAAAUAAUCCAAGUCCAUGUUUAAGUUUGAAGUGAAUUCCUAGAAACCACUUCCUUGAAAGAGAUAUUAGACAUGAAGUUUAAAGAAUGAUUCACUAGGUCAAUAUGGUAGAUACACAACUUCACACCUCACAAAGAUGCGUUCUUAUCUCCACAUAUUGAUGAAGCCCUUGAGUGAGCACCUUUGAACAUCCCUUUGCGAGCACAGUGUGGACACUGGAAUUAAGUUGAAUGGCAUUGUCUUAUUUUCUGCAGAUUUUUGAUCUUCACUUCUGCUUGUACAAGGCCUGAAACUUCCAUUCUGAAUCUCAUAGCCAACAUUGGCUUUGCCCUUUGAUGUCACCCUUGCUUUUGACUGCAUUAUUUGGACCCACUGCCUCUUCAACUGGCCCCCAGCACCUGCCCAGCUUCAGUAAGGAUUCUCCUUGCUCCCAGCAUGGUUGUUGGAGCCUGGAUGCCUUUUGAGUUUUAGUUCCCGUUGACAUCAAUAUUCAGCUGUGGAGGCAAUAGGGGCUUCCAACAGUGGACUGAGGAACUUAGCUUCACCCAGUCAUUACCUUACACUCCCCAAAUAAGCUGUUUUAGGAGCAGUAGGCUGAAUGUUUCCUAAUGAUACAGGCUCCAAAAUCCAGGUUCUCCUCCCUCAAUGAUGGCAAUUAUGAUAAGCUACGAAAACAAGGAGUGCAGAAGGUGGUGAGACCUUCUAUUCAGGGAAAGAACCUUGGGAUAGUCCCCCGGACCAGUUCCAAAUAAUCUCGGAAUGAGACUUGUGCUUUGUUGAGUUCAUCCCACCCCCAAGGUGAGACCUAUUCUCAUGGUAGUAGGAAUUCAUUAAAGUGGAAGCCACACAACUAUUUCCGAGACAUGAAUAUCUGCUGAAACUGUUUUAUUGCCUUUGGGCAUAGGGUUAUGCUUCGGGAUCUGUUAAACUCAUUUUAAGAUCUUAAGAGCCCCUUAUGUUCACCUUCCUAGAAGUACAAUGCACACUGCUCCUCUAUUCCAUCCCACAAUCCCAGAGCAUAGUUCUGCUCCAAGUUAGACUAUUCUAUGAGUGUAGUACAUUCCACUGCUUUGCCAACACACACCAACCAACCAUGAUUACAAUAGUGCCCAGUUAGAGUUCUGCCUAGGACAUUUAGAGUUUGACAGUAACUAUCACCUUUCAAGUAGUUCAAGUGCUCACAUGAGCAGUAACAAUAGCAAUGAGCUUCUACCUAUGUUUGAGACCAGGGCCAACUACCCUUCCAAGAAGUUGGAUGACAUAUCUUGUACCACUUCCAUCCCUCAGAGAAUCUGAUUGGCCUCGACUCUAAGCAUAAAGCCCUCAAUUUAUGUUCUUACCACAUUUGCCCCCACAGGCUCAAGAUUGACUGCGUGCUGUACACAGGGUUCCCAGCAAUGGGGAUAGGUGUGGUGUCAGUGGGGAGUGAUCCAUAACAUUCACACCAGGAAGUGUUCAUGGGUCUCUUGCUUACCUUGAAGGUUGUAGCAGAAGCUGUUAGUACUCUACUAAGAGAUCCUCUUAGAUCUCUGCCGUUUUGCUUGCUUGUGGGGGAGCUGCCUUUGGACUGCAGAAAACCUGCUUUGCUAGUGUGCUAAGCCAGCCCAAAGUGCCUGGGAACCUUACA
ensembl:lncRNA